UGAGUAACACGUGGGCAACCUGCCUGUAAGAUCGGAAAAACUCCGGGAAACCGGAGCUAAUGCCGGGUAAUACUUUCUUUCGCAUGAAGGAAAGUUGAAAGAUGGCUUCUAGCUAUCACUUACAGAUGGGCCCGCGGCGCAUUAGCUAGUUGGUGAGGUAACGGCUCACCAAGGCGACGAUGCGUAGCCGACCUGAGAGGGUGAUCGGCCACACUGGGACUGAGACACGGCCCAGACUCCUACGGGAGGCAGCAGUAGGGAAUCUUCCGCAAUGGACGAAAGUCUGACGGAGCAACGCCGCGUGAACGAUGAAGGUCUUCGGAUCGUAAAGUUCUGUUGUUAGGGAAGAACAAGUACCGUUCGAUUAGGUCGGUACCUUGACGGUACCUAACGAGGAAGCCCCGGCUAACUACGUGCCAGCAGCCGCGGUAAUACGUAGGGGGCAAGCGUUGUCCGGAAUUAUUGGGCGUAAAGCGCUCGCAGGCGGUUCCUUAAGUCUGAUGUGAAAGCCCACGGCUCAACCGUGGAGGGUCAUUGGAAACUGGGGAACUUGAGGACAGAAGAGGAGAGUGGAAUUCCACGUGUAGCGGUGAAAUGCGU
rnacentral:rRNA from 1 species